GAUGAACGCUGGCGGCGUGCCUAAUACAUGCAAGUCGAGCGAACAGACGAGGAGCUUGCUCCUCUGACGUUAGCGGCGGACGGGUGAGUAACACGUGGAUAACCUACCUAUAAGACUGGGAUAACUUCGGGAAACCGGAGCUAAUACCGGAUAACAUGUUGAACCGCAUGGUUCAACAGUGAAAGACGGUCUUGCUGUCACUUAUAGAUGGAUCCGCGCCGCAUUAGCUAGUUGGUAAGGUAACGGCUUACCAAGGCAACGAUGCGUAGCCGACCUCAGAGGCUGAUGCGCCACGCUGGAACUGAGACACGGUCCAGACUCCUACGGGAGGCAGCAGUCGGGAAUCUUCCGCAAUGGGCGAAAGCCUGACGGAACAACGCCGCGUGAGUGAAGAAGGUCUUCGGAUCGUAAAGCUCUGUUAUUAGGGAAGAACAAAUGUGUAAGUAACUAUGCACGUCUUGACGGUACCUAAUCAGAAAGCCACGGCUAACUACGUG
rnacentral:rRNA from 1 species